rnacentral:rRNA from 1 species
UACGGGGGGGCAAGCGUUGUUCGGAAUUACUGGGCGUAAAGGGCUCGUAGGUGGCCAACUAAGUCAGACGUGAAAUCCCUCGGCUUAACCGGGGAACUGCGUCUGAUACUGGAUGGCUUGAGUUUGGGAGAGGGAUGCGGAAUUCCAGGUGUAGCGGUGAAAUGCGUAGAUAUCUGGAGGAACACCGGUGGCGAAGGCGGCAUCCUGGACCAACACUGACACUGAGGAGCGAAAGCGUGGGAGCGAACAGG